rnacentral:rRNA from 1 species
GACGAACGCUGGCGGCGUGCUUAACACAUGCAAGUCGAACGGAAAGGCCCCUUUGGGGGUACUCGAGUGGCGAACGGGUGAGUAACACGGGAGUAACCUGCCCUUGGCUUCGGGAUAACUUCAGGAAACUGGGGCUAAUACCGGAUAGGAAUCCUUGCUGCAUGGUGGGGGUUGGAAAGCUUCGGCGGUUUUGGAUGGACUCGCGGCUUAUCAGCUUGUUGGUGGGGUAGUGGCUUACCAAGGCUUUGACGGGUAGCCGGCCUGAGAGGGCGACCGGCCACAUUGGGACUGAGAUACGGCCCAGACUCCUACGGGAGGCAGCAGUGGGGAAGGUUGCACAAUGGGCGGAAGCCUGAUGCAGCAACGCCGCGUGCGGGAUGACGGCCUUCGGGUUGUAAACCGCUUUCAGCAGGGGCGAAGCUUGUGGUGACGGUACCUGCAGAAGAAGCACCGGCUAACUACGUG